CUGCCUCUGCCUCUCAAGUGCUGGGAUUAAAGGUGUGCUCCACCACUGCCCAGCUUUCCUGCUUCUUUUUACAUAAAGAAUAUACUGAGCCACUUUCGUCAUUAACACUUUAAAGGUGUUAAGUAAAGAUCCGAUGCUUUUAUGUCACCUGCUCUCUCUGAUGUGUACAGACAUUUGUUUGAGGUAACUGAGCGACUCCACUGUGGGCGCCAUGUAACACCUUACUAUUGAGUUGCUGCAUCCUGUCUGUGACUUCUCUAGUUCUGUUUCUGAAGUCUCAUUUCUCUCUUGUGGCCCCUGGCCUCCUAUCCCUGCAUCCCACUCACACACCAUGGUCCCUCGAGGUCAGCUCAAUGGCACCAGGCACCCAGAGUGGUCCUGCUAAGUCCAUGGUCCUAGGCUCCUAUCUUCAUUCACCAUGAGCCUUUACUCAGUCUGACUCUGGUUGUCUGUGAUGCUUGCUUGCCAUUUUCACCUUGGUUAGGUUAGGAAACAGCCCCUGUAAAGGCAUCCAGGGAGGGUUAGGGAGUGUGUGCAGUGCUGGUCUAUGGAUCCGACUGAAUAGGUAGAGGAAAAAAGAUGUGAAUGGGUCAGGUGUCAGGAUCAUCGCUCUCUGCUCUCUGCCCCUCUGGUGUGUGAGAGCUCCAUGCUCCUGCUGCCACAGCUCAUGCUGGGCUCAGUCCUUCCUCCUCAUUGCGGGCUCUACUUCAGACUGUGACCAAAUAGCCUUCCUUAAGUACUUUCUUGUCAGUUACUUGCCGUAGCAUUGAGAAAGGGGACUAGUUGGCAUACUAUAGUUAUAUAUGUACUAACGUAUGAAAGUAAAUACCAGUGGGAGGUAAAUUUGCAGGGAUAUUAGUCUUGGUUCACUUGAUCAGUGAGUAUUUAGAACAUAUGAUCACAUGGCUGAGUAGGACCCUUAGGUACAUGCACGUUAGGCCUGUCCAGCCACCAGAAUCGAGGUAGUCUGGGGUCAGCUCCUGUCUUCUUGGGGAGCCUGGACAGGUUCAUUCCGUGCUGUACAAAGACGCCAUUUGUACUGCUUGCGUGAGAGAAUGUUACUGUUUCUUCCACUUUUUUGUUUCAGUUGCCCAAGUCCUGAGCCACAGUCCUCUCUGGCUGGCUGUGUGAUAGAUUUUAAAGGUCACACAAAAUGUGGCCUCUUCCUCUUCCCCUUGAGUCAAGGGAGAAGCACAAGAAUAAUCAAUAAUUCUAAAAGGCAAAAAGCAUCGUUGUUGCUGUUUUAAAUUUAGUUCUUGUCUUAGCUUACUUAGGUCUCUCCUGGAUUCUGAGCUUGUAGGAGUCGGCCUAUGCAACUCGGAAGGAUCCAGAAACUAUCAAUACUGGCUCCUGGGUGUGACAAUGUUUCUGCACUUCCCUUUACUCCCAAAUAAAACCACUUAGUGUGGCGGCUAGGCCCAGCCUGGUAUCCCAGUCUGAUAUCCUUCCCACGUAGGGCUUGUGCCCCCCUCUUCUCCCUAGCUCCCACAGCAUUGCCCCAUGCCUGCCUCCCAUCAGGCAGCCUGUCCAGUGGGAUCAUUUCAGUCUACAGAUGCUUAAAAUCCAGACAGUUGGAAAGUCUUCCGCCUCAGUCACAUUGUUAUCAAAAAGAAGAGAGAAACGUGGGUAAGGCGUGGAGAAAAGAAAAUCCUUGUCCAUUGCUGUUGGGGCUGUAGACUUACAGAGUCAAUAUGGAAAGCAGAAGUGCUCCCGCGUGUGCGUGCGCAAAGGAAGGCAGUCUGUGCUGUAAGGAAACCUGCAGUGCAGUCCGCGUUCACUGCAGCAGUGACAACUGUGGCCAGAUACAGAGUGUCCACGGGUGGAUGUGUGGAUACAGAAAAUGUGAUAAACGUACACUGGAAGAUCCUUCACCCUGUAAUAAGGAGGAUAUUCUGCCAUGGCCACAACGUGUGUGAGCUGAGGGCCUUCUACUAAGUGGUAUAACCCAGGCACAGGAGGAAGACAGCUUGAUCUCGCUUGUACACGGGAUCUCAAAGGCAAAAGCUAGGUGUUUACUACACAGAGAUGAUUCUGGAGGCAAGGUGAUAGCUACGGCCAUAGAGGUCAGGGUAGGAAGAAAAUGUAGGGCUGGGGAAGUCUCAGAUCUGAUGGACACCAAGGGGGUUGAAGGCAAUAGCGCUGUUAGAUUAAGGGUUUUUGCUAUAAAGAGUAUAGAUUAGAUAUUCUACAUGCAUAUGCGUUCACACGCAUGUGCGCACAUAAUAAAAAUGAACACAUAAAAUUAAUUUGUUUAUCUUUGUUAACCAUUUAUGUAUAUAUAAAUCAUCACACUGUAAACAUUAAACACAUACAAUUUAAAAAUCAAUUCUUUGCUAACUGUUGAAAAAAUAAGGCAUGCAGGACAUACUUUCUGAUGUGUUCCAAUUUCAUAUAUUUAUCUUAGUACAGGGCCAGCUGUUCUCAUUUCUGUUCAGGAAACAUGAUAAUCAGAGAUUCAUUUCUAACCACCAUACUUUACUCAGAUUACACUAAAUCUAUAGUAUACAAAGUGUCUCUGGGACUAAUUAAUGUUUUUAAAUGUUUACCUAAAGCACAUAGAAAUUGUAUACAUUUCUCAAAAAGAGAAAAGAAAAAUGACCCAAGGGCCAGGCAGGCUUUGCAGCAGGGGAUGUUUUGCUCGGUUCCCUGAGGUGCUCAUCAGUCUGUGUUUUCCCAUGUGAUCUAGGAGGUUAAUGAAGGCACUGUGGGGCCCAUUGUUAUUUCUGCACUGUGAAUUGAUUAGCCAGAGGAUGUACAGUGUGGCAGUGUGUGGCCAGGCCUGUGUGUCUCUGGCAGUGGCCCAACAGACUUUGAAGAUAGCAUGCUGCUUCCUAGUCACGACCUCUCGGCCAUGUGCUGUGUUGUGGGUGCUCCUGGUGCUGUGCCAGCUCCUUACCGAUGCUGGCAGGAGUCCUGGCUGUGUGGACACAGUAGAGACCUUUCUCGGAAAGUCAAGUUCAGCCCUUGCUGUUUGCUGGUGAAAGUGCAUCUGUCUGGACUACUUCACUUCAGUAAGCGUGGGCUGGGCCCCUGCCUUGUGCCAGGCACGGGGCCAGGCAGUGGGGAUUCAGCAGAGAAAUGAGGAGUCCCAGGCAGUGGAGACUAGCUGACUGUAGAAGCUCAUCUUAGAGCCAAGGCAAAGUCAAAACCAGAAGCUUCGAACGUGAGGAAGGUGUCGGGGUUCACUGCCCAGCCUCAGCGCUUUCACCCUUUUGAAGUUGGGAGACGGCUCCUUUUGGGAUCAGUCUUUCGAACCUCCAGCAAACUAUGGCCCCAUCCCAUCAGAGUUGAGAGAAGUGAGUGGCUUCCUGUUGUGUGGGGCCCUACGGUUUCCAUCAGAGUCCCAUUUUAAACACACAGAAGGAAAAGUAUCCUGAUUGGAAACCUGACCACACUUGUCCCCUUGUCCUAAUUUCAGUGGCCAGCUAAACAAAGCAGCGCUUCUGGGAAAGAGCUGUGAGAAGGGUUACCAAGAUGAAGCUGGAGGGAUGGCCUCCCCAGGGCAAAGACACACUGACUCGGACUGCAGGGAACGUGUGUGUGUCUGUCACUGUGAGUGUGCUGGCUUGUGCUGGUCAUGUGUGCGCACAUAGCCCCUAGAAGGGACUCUGCUAGAUGUCACCCGGCUACAUCCUUCAACACGCACGGCCUUCUCUAAAGCUCCAGGAAAGAAGGUUGUCCAAGUUUCUCUUCCUACCAAAGCUGAGUGAGUGGCUUCUGGAAGCACCUGGCUUGGUUCUGUUGGGCUGCCGGCAGAACCAGAUUCACUGGGCACCGGUGUCCCUGCCGUGAAGGCUGCCAUGCACACCUGAGUGCCUUAGCCUUCUUUCUGCAGGUCUCUUCUCCACAAGAGUUGGCAGUGGCCCUGGUGCAUGCUUCAGGGAGCUGGUAACAAGAACACUUGAGGAUGUACCCAGCAGAGUGACCCGUCCCUGCAAGCACUUUGGGUGCCUCACCCAGCACUGGCCAGUGAAGGAAGCAAGCAAGCCGUCCUCCACCACCAGCCAAGUUACCUGAUGCUUCAUCUCCUGCCCCAGUCUUGUCAUACCUUACCCUUCCUCCUAUACUGGGGAGCCAUCUGAAGCUAAAGGAAGAGAGAUUGCACCUAAAAGGUGCCCGGGUGUCAGAUACUGCAUCCCGCACACGGCCCUCACAGCCUAUCCUCUGGGAUAGAAUGUUGAGUUCUGGAGGAGCUGGGGCAGGACACACUGACUGGUUCAGAGUCCUCUGUCUGCUCCUCCACUAUGCAAACGCUCGGCCACGUGACGCUGUGUCAACACCGCUGAGCUCGGCUCCAUUUAGCCGAUUCCCCAGACACUCAUUUCACAGGCACAGGGAAACCAGAGGUGCUCUUAUGUAAGAGGACCUGAGCGGGGAGGGAGGCAGGGAGCUUUGUGAGUACACAUUGCUGUGACAGAGGGCUUCAGGGAGCUCUCGGGAAGAGUCGGGGAAGGAGGAACACUUCACAGUCAGGGGUUCUGAGGGGCCCCCACCAUGCAUGCUUGGUUCCUUCCUGGGUGGAACAGGUCAGGCUUAGGAAGGACCUGGAGAUGGGAAGAUCUGGCUCUGCAGGGACCUUAAGACCCCAGAUCCAGCCCAGGGUCCCAAAACGGAGAGGCUCACAGCCAGCAGGGAGUGCUCUCAGUGAGAGCUUUGUCCUUCUGUAGAGGAUGGUAAAUUUGAAAAUUUCCAGGAUCCCAUAGGUGCCCACCUGUGUGUAAGAUGGGGCUGAGUCUGCCUUCUUCCUGUGUUCCCUUGUCUGAGCAGGCGAGGCCUGGAGGCCUGGCACAGCCAAUCAGAGUCCUGCUCGUGAGGCAGGCAUCUCUUGGUCUUGGGCAAGGGUCAGGGAAUCUCUGGGAGGUUAGUGAGAGAUCAGGGAGGAGAAACCAGUAGAGGAUGCUGGCUAGCUCAGGGCAUGUGGAUUUCAGCAGUGCAGCCAGUCAGGGUCUGCUGGUGGCGUGUGGAGCCUGGCCUGGCCGUGCUAGGCAUGUUGCCUUUUUCUUUUCUGCUUCUUCCACAAGGUAUGUCCACAGCCCAGAUUUCUCCCUCUGGUGGAGACCUCUGAGAGGAAGCCAGUGUUAAGAACUCUGUCCUCGAGGGGAGCAGUUUGGACUCUCCUCUAGCCCUGGGUUUGUGGUCAUAGGCUUUUCCACAGUGUGGGCUAGAUGCAGAUGCACGCCCAACUGACAUGGAUGUGGCCCAAUGAUGACACUUCCUCUGUGGUCAGCAGUCAUGCAGCCUGAACUGCCACAGGGAAGAAAGUAAAAGGACAGCUGGGCCCCAAGAGGAAAGGCGUCCCUGCACAGAGGGCUCCAAAAGGAAGGUUGGAAGGCUUGUGUCCAGAACUGAUGGUGGGUUUGAACACCUUCCUUGGACAGUGGCUGGAGCUGGUAUCUAACUUUAAUACCAGUUUUGAUCUGGGUCUCAAGUUCCACACCUCACAGUCAUUCACACCCUCCUUGUCUGGUCUGGGUGGGCCCAGGCCACACCCCUUCUUCUCCUGUGCACUCUCCAGGUAGUCGCUGGCACACCUGUGUAGACAGAAUUCUGACUCCAGCACACGUGGGAAGAGGCUGGGAGAGCCAUCUUUGCCUUCUGGAAGGCACCCCAGACUAGGCAGAGACUCAGAAGAAUCAUCUGGAAACCCGAAGAGUAGAGGCAGGCAGGACGUCGCUGACGAGGAGCCGAGGAACACACUGCAGUUUAACAGGAGGAGCCUCUCCCUAGAAAGCUGGCAUUGGGGAAGUGGCAAAGAGAACAUCUAAGCCUGUGGGCCUGGGUGAAGCCCAGGUUAGCGUGGCCAGGAAGGAGGAUAGGCGUGUUUGUCUUGGGCCACCUGGAGAAAGGGCCAAGCAGGCCAGCAUCACCAGCUGUCCUAGCUCCCAAACCUGGCCCUGAGAUUGGGAACAUGUGCAGGGGUUGGAGAGCACAUGGGGGUGCCACUGAUGGUUCCCAGCAGUGGGCGUCACACCAUUAAGACCUCAGACCAUGAUCCUGCAGUCUGAGGAAGUGGUCGGGAAAUGGACUAGGGUUGAGGAAGCCAUGUAGAGGUCGUAUAGAUCAUGUUAGGGGAGAGGGGACUGAGUUCCUUGGCUGUGACUAAGCCAUUAGGUUGGGAAAGAGUGCCUUCAGCGAAGCCCCCUCUACCAUAAGACUCCAUGUUUCUAUACCAAAAGGAAGGAAGGGAAGAGGCUCCAGGGGUCAGAGAUGUUCUCUUCCUGGUUGUUCCCCUGCCCCAGCCCUUCUUCUCACACAACUGCCAUGAGGGAGGGGGGGGGGUAGGUCAAGCACCAUCUCAUGAGACCACCUAGAAGAGAAGGAACGAGGAAGGACUAGGCAGAAGUGUAUCCGGACAGUGAGCACCUCGUGUGCUACUCCUAAAAACAGCAAACAGCGAGAUGAUGCUCAUGGGAGACCGCCCAUACCCCAAUACUGAAUAUGUCAGGGGCUUUGCUGUCAACGAUAAUCAGAUUUCAAUCAAAAGUGAGUAACCAACCCUAGCAAAACCCACGGCACACUCAGCACACUGGUGGCACAUCCGGUGACAGAUGAAUGUCGGGGUUCAGUGACCAGCGUCCCCUUGAAAUUCACUUCUGCAAGCUACAUGGCACCAGGGCUUCAGCACAUGACAGGAUCCUCCAGCUGAUGAGUCCACUGAGCAGUUUUGGAAAUUGAGACCCCAGGACAGGCUGUGGUUCUGCCAAGGUCACCUGCUGAUGGUUGCAGGGCCCACACGUGCUCAGAUAAGAGCAGAAGGGGUGUGAGUCUGGCAACCUCACUGCCCAGUGAACUUGAAUUGUGCUUCUGUGAUCUCGUCAGACAUGUUGGACACUGCCUGCAUUGUUUCAUGGCGUCCUCCCAACAUCCCUGGGUACAGUCCAGAAGCCAGGGGCUUGUGUAUAGAAGCCAGGCACGUGGAGAAUGACAGUUCUCCAGACAAUUUCCAGGGUGAUAAGUGGAGGACCAAAAUUUGAAUGUGGUCCAAGCUGAGCCCAGCUGCCCCUCCAGCCCAGCAUUCUUGACCUGGUCAUGCACUGGUGAUGUAAGGAGGAGCCAGCCCCUCUCCCACAUCUGCUCCAUGGCCGGGAGCAUGUUACUUCUAGGGAUCAUUUUCCUGGGAGCCCCUCCACCCAAGGCUGUACAAGAAUAAGAGGAUGCAGCAAGCGUUAGUAUAGAAUUUGCAAAACACUUCAAAUUGUCAUAUUGCCUGUUUUAUGGUCAUUAAAAAAUAAUGGUGUUGGUACUA